GAUGAACGCUAGCUACAGGCUUAACACAUGCAAGUCGAGGGGCAGCAUGAAAGGAACUUCGGUUCUUUUUGAUGGCGACCGGCGCACGGGUGCGUAACGCGUAUCGAACCUGCCUCAUACUCGGGGAUAGGCUUUCGAAAGAAAGAUUAAUACCCGAUGUUGCGUAUCUUUCUCCUGAAAGAUACGCCAAAGGAUUCCGGUAACCGAUGGGGAUGCGUUCCAUUAGGCAGUUGGCGGGGUAACGGCCCACCAAACCUUCGAUGGAUAGGGGUUCUGAGAGGAAGGUCCCCCACAUUGGAACUGAGACACGGCCCAG
rnacentral:rRNA from 1 species